rnacentral:rRNA from 1 species
UACAGAGGGUGCGAGCGUUGUCCGGAAUUACUGGGCGUAAAGGGCGCGUAGGCGGCUUGGUAAGUCGGGGGUGAAAGUCAGCGGCUCAACCGCUGGACUGCCUUCGAGACUGCCUGGCUUGAGCAUGGUAGAGGCUGGCGGAAUUCCCGGUGUAGCGGUGGAAUGCGUAGAGAUCGGGAAGAACAUCGGUGGCGAAGGCGGCCAGCUGGGCCAUUGCUGACGCUGAUGCGCGACAGCGUGGGGGAGCAAACAGGG